AAUUUAUAUCAACGACGUUAAGUAGUAGUAUGUAUAUAUAUAUAUAAGUAUUAGAAAAUGUUCGCAUCGUAAACAGAAAAAUCACGUAUGUUGCAAAUGGCACACCCCCUGAGGAAUUGAUAGCUUGGAGAGAGAGAAGAAAUCGCAAAGCGUUAAACCAUGUUGAGAGAAUCGAAGAAGGAAAUUGAAGGAAGGUUGGCAGCACUUAAGAAUAAAACUUUAUUUUUCUUUUUUUGACUACGAGUAAAGUAAUGAGAAGAAGAAUAUAUAAAGUAUACAUGUUUCUUCAUCAAUCUCUGCCUGCCAGUAUAUGGUACCAUAAAAAUAUCGGCCAGUUGAUUUCUUCUUCGAAAUCUGUACACUUUUUGGUCUUUGCUGCGUUCUUUCUGGUACAGUGCCAGGACAGCAGCUCGUCGAACUCGCAUUGUCAUAGCAACCCUUAUAAUUCAGAACAUUACACUUCUCUUCUCCCCGGAGAAUAAAAAUCUUUGAAACUUUCAUGAAAAUGGCGAACUAGAAGGGUUUUUUUCUUUUCUUUUUUUUUUUGUUAAACACUGUCUCCAAUCUGAUCAUUGUAGAGUUUUGACAUCUGUUUAUUUUUAAAAUAAAAUUCUGCAUUAUAGCGUAUGGUAUAAAUGCCUUAGGCAGCAUUGGAAGAAAUUCGUCUCGACAAAAAGAUCUCAUGUUUUCCUAAAAAUAUUCUGAGCAAAUUGCGUAUAUAUAUAUAUAUAGCAUGUAAAUAUUUUACAUUUCUUCCGUAUAAUUUACUUAAGUAUCUUAGACCAUUUUAACAGAAGUUUCUGACAUUGCUAAUCCUUUUAUUAAUAGCUCUGAUUAUGCAGCCGUUUCUGGUAUUAAAACUUUAAAAUGUAUUUUGCAGAGAAGGUUUGAAAGUUAAAAAAAAAAUUUUUUCGAGCUCAUCCAAAUUAUUAACAUAUAUAUAAAAUACGUACAUUUAGAAUUAUCUUGAGACGUUCUAAUUAUGUGCGUUAUAUUAAUGUUCAUUUAUAAUGAAAAAUUUCAUUAAAUUUCACGUGAUUUAUUCUAAAUUAUUUGACACAGUAGGAUUAAGAAUGUUAGAAUGUUCCUACAUAAAUCCCUAAAGAUUUGAUGGAAAAGCGUAGGGAAGGAUAAAACUACAAAAAGUUUUUAAUGAUUCCCGAACGUUUUGCUGAAUUAUUAAUGGUUGAUAGGAACUGUGAAAAAUAUAAAUUUCUUUUUAAUUACAGAAUUUUUCACUUGGCUGACAUAUUUCGGUACAUAACGAUGAAAAUCAUUAAUUAUCAUCAUAGAUAAAAUUUAAUCGUGGAUUUUAUCUACUUAUUAUACAGCAUUUUUCUAAGCAAG
rnacentral:lncRNA from 1 species